UUCAGACACAGCAGGACUGAUACACACAUGAAGGCUGGGACAGCAUGCACAAAACCUGAGACAGUUCAAGCUAGAUGGAAUCCCUGCACUGAGAAGAGGAAGUGGACACCAAGUCGACCCUAACCAGAAAGCUGCUGGGAAAGGGGAACUCCAUUUUCUUCAACGGAGUGUCCCUGGGUUUAUCAACCACACUCCAGGGAAUGCCAGCACAGACACUCCGUGGCUUUUGACAUCUUCACAUCCACGCCAAGAGUCCCCGAGCCCUGCUCUGCUGCCAGGAUUUGAAACCCAUUUCCUUCUUCAUGCUGCACAUACCUUGUUGACUCUGAACGGACAUUCCUUUGUUUCUGAUUCAGGAAAUUUUUUCAUCCACUUUCCAACAAAGUAGGCGGCAUUAACCAUGAGGAUUUUGGUCUGGUCACUUACACUGUUCUCCGAUAAAAUGUUCUCAAAAUGGCCUGCAAAUUAUUGUAGAAACCACACAUCAUGGUCAUUCAUCGAAGUAGCCUGCUACUGCAUGCUUGUUCACUGACUGGGCAUCCAUCACUCAUUAGCAUCACACCCAGAAAAACUGGUAGCCAAGGCUGUCCCAUUUGGGGCAUCUUUUCUGUCCUCCUUCUCUUCCAGACCAGACAUCUCAAAGAGCUCUAGGACUGGAAAUAAGCCUUUUCUGACUCAGCUGAGAUGUACUCCUGAGAUGAGGAGAUAGGCGCUUUCCACCUGGCCGUGUCCACACCUCCACAUACAUCACCUCACUGUUUUCCAUUUACAGUUGAGGAACCUGAGGUUCAGAAGGGGUCAAGGGCUGCUCUGCUGUGCUCAGCUGAGGCUACAUCUUCGCUCUACAACUCUACACGCCUUUCCCAGGCUCACUCCUUGGAGGCAGCUGAUGGACUGGAGGUCAGCUGUAACACUCACAAGUGCAGUCGCACCAUAAUUACCUCAGGCCUUAAGUCAUCCACAGCCCACAGAGCACAACCAUGAAA